rnacentral:lncRNA from 1 species
GGCGCCUAUGUCUUACUAACGAAUGCAGAUCGUAUUGUACAAAGUCAGUCGCUGCUCGGGAAUGGUAAAAGACGGUCUCACCGAUGAUUUAUGUCACGUUACCGCAUUAUACGUACAUGCUUACGAAGCUAUUCUUUAAAAAUGUAAAUCUUUCACUCUCCCCUCACUCUCAUAGUCUUAAUCACAAGAGGAGGAAGCGGCGAGGAACAAAGAAAAGCUGUAUACCGGAGGAUACUUUCAAAAUAACCCAUCAAACGUACGACGUUACCGUGUGGAAAAAAAACCGACAUAACCUCUAUCUCUCAGUAUGCUCUACGUAAUAAAAAUUGCUUCCAGGCAUGUCACAUAACCAAUUAUGAGAUCAAAGUAAGUCUCAGUGGAUUAUAAGAAAUAUUUUAUACAGAAUGAAGAUUCGAAAUAAUUCCAAAUAAUUUCGAUCCCGUUAUUAGUCGCAAAACAUGCGUUGAGGCAAAUCUUAUUGUAUAGAUAUUACACUGUAAAAGUAUUUCAAUAUAUGAAUUCAUUUGUAUUCAGGUUAUGAAUUCAUUUUAAAGUAAAUUCUCAAGAGUUUGCUAUUGAGAAUACUUUUUGUAAGUAAGAAAACUGCAUUGAUAACGUCUUAAAGUAACUUUCACAAUGUCCAUUUGUCAAAAAUAAUUCUCGAGAACAAUUUUAGAGUUUUUUUUACUUUCAAAUGAAUUCAAACCUUAACAAAAUAUCACUUCGUGUUCUCGAUAGUUAUUUUAAUGCUGUGAACAUUUUACUUAACGAAAUCACGUGCAAUUUGUGCUCGAACAAUGUUCUAUCAAGAACAAAGGUAUUUCGAUUUCUCUUCUAGAUCAGUUGUCUUUAUUUCCUAUUCUAAAUACGCUUAACCGCACGUCAUGAUAAAGGAAAGGAACGUAUCAUUUAUGUCUCUCGCUGAACUCUCGAUCAAAUGGCGAAUUACGGUUAAUGAACGUAUGAAUCAAAGCGAAUUGUGCGCGGUUACGGAAUCGCGAUUACAUUUAAGGUCAGCUCUUGCGUUGGGAGUAGUUUUCAAUCAGUCAGCUUAAUUCCACGCUUGGAAUUCGAUUUUCACGCAUGCCGGGGAAACUCGGUGCGAUUCGAGGUCGAAGUGGGUUUGUAUUUAUGUAUGUAUUUAUAUAUGUAUAUGUAUAUGUUCGAGCACGUAUGUUCAUUAACGUAUUUUGUUGGAAGAUGCUGCGCCGUAAAUUCUGUAAGCAGAUUCUGACAUCGUGUUGCAAUACGAAAAGCAUAAGACUGUAUGUGAAUAAUAAAAUAUGUAUAUUAAUGUAAUAUACAAUAAAUAUUUGUAAAAUUAAAGCGUAAUAAUGUUCGAUGACCAUCCUCCUUUAAUCGUUCUACGAUUUUUCUAUAUUUUUUUUUUUCUUUCUAAUUAAUGAUAUGUAACAAAUACGAGCAUGAAUUUUAAACCAACGUUCCUGUGCCUCUCACAUCGUCUAACCUCUCCAUGACAGUGAGAACGUACGAAUAAUAAAAUUGAUGAGAAGAUCCCAGAUAGCAAUCGAUGCUUUAAAGAUAUUCACAAUUAUUUUCAAGGAUAUUAGUAUAAGAUUGAACUUAAGAAUAUCUUAUAAAUAUAAUUAUUCUUAUGCUAAUAUAUGUAAUUGAAAAAAAAAAUUGCUUUGUAAUUUUUUUUUUAAAAUGUUUUUCCAAAAAAAAAAACAUUUCUUUGCUGUCUGGGACACGAGCGCGAGUAGAAAUGGCUGGAGGGUGAGACGGACUAAAUAAACAAAAUCAAGUGUACAAAUAAAUAUAAAACGUAUAUUUAAAUUAAAUGCCACAAAGUAUCUUGUUGUAUGUUCUUGCGUCAUGAACGAAGUCAGAGCUGUACUAGAUUUUUUUUCUUCCGCCUCAUUUACUUCUUCUCUUCAUAUUCUUUCCCUCCACGUGAAAUUACAGUGCUCUGAGACGACGAACGAACGUAUUAUCUAUGUAUACACACGCGCCAUUUUAUACGCGGAAUAACGGAAAAAAAAAAAAAAA